rnacentral:ncRNA from 1 species
AAUAAGUCGAUGAUGGAAAAAGGACAGAUCAAUAGCCUUCAGAGAGUCGGUGGUUGGUGCAAACCGAUGGCGAGAAUUUGUCUUAGCGUUCCUGAGAAAUUGCAUUGAAGUUAAGUAGGUGCAAUCGGGUAAUCUCCGUUAUAAGAUAUGGUCAUUACGAUGAUCAUUUGAGGCUGCUGAUAUGAUGCAGUGAAUUAGGGUGGUACCACGAAACUUUCGUCCCUUAC